rnacentral:rRNA from 1 species
UACGAGAGGUGCGAGCGUUAUUCGGAAUUACUGGGCGUAAAGGGCGCGUAGGCGGGAUGGCAAGUCGGUCGUGAAAUCCCUCGGCUCAACCGAGGAACGUCGAUCGAUACUGCUGUUCUUGAGGAUUGCAGAGGAGACUGGAAUUCCCGGUGUAGCGGUGAAAUGUGUAGAGAUCGGGAGGAACACCGGUGGCGAAGGCGGGUCUCUGGGCAAUUCCUGACGCUGAGGCGCGAAAGCGUGGGGAGCAAACGGG